AGAGUUUGAUCCUGGCUCAGGAUGAACGCUAGCGACAGGCUUAACACAUGCAAGUCGAGGGGCAGCACAGGUAGCAAUACCGGGUGGCGACCGGCGCACGGGUGAGUAACGCGUAUGCAACUUGCCUAUCAGAGGGGGAUAACCCGGCGAAAGUCGGACUAAUACCGCAUGAAGCAGGGGUCCCGCAUGGGGAUAUUUGCUAAAGAUUCAUCGCUGAUAGAUAGGCAUGCGUUCCAUUAGGCAGUUGGCGGGGUAACGGCCCACCAAACCGACGAUGGAUAGGGGUUCUGAGAGGAAGGUCCCCCACAUUGGUACUGAGACACGGACCAAACUCCUACGGGAGGCAGCAGUGAGGAAUAUUGGUCAAUGGGCGCGAGCCUGAACCAGCCAAGUCGCGUGAGGGAUGAAGGUUCUAUGGAUCGUAAACCUCUUUUAUAAGGGAAUAAAGUGCGGGACGUGUCCCGUUUUGUAUGUACCUUAUGAAUAAGGAUCGGCUAACUCCGUGCCAGCAGCCGCGGUAAUAC
rnacentral:rRNA from 1 species